AUUGAACGCUGGCGGCAGGCCUAACACAUGCAAGUCGAGCGGCAGCACAGAGGAACUUGUUCCUUGGGUGGCGAGCGGCGGACGGGUGAGUAAUGCCUGGGAAAUUGCCCGGUAGAGGGGGAUAACCAUUGGAAACGAUGGCUAAUACCGCAUAACCUCGCAAGAGCAAAGCAGGGGACCUUCGGGCCUUGCGCUACCGGAUAUGCCCAGGUGGGAUUAGCUAGUUGGUGAGGUAUGGGCUGACCAAGGCGACGGUCCCUAGCUGGUCUGAGAGGAUGAUCAGCCACACUGGAACUGAGACACGGUCCAGACUCCUACGGGAGGCAGCAGUGGGGAAUAUUGCACAAUGGGCGCAAGCCUGAUGCAGCCAUGCCGCGUGUAUGAAGAAGGCCUUCGGGUUGUGAAGUACUUUCAGUAGGGAGGAAGGUGGUUAAGUUAAUACCUUAAUCAUUUGACGUUACCUACAGAAGAAGCACCGGCUAACUCCGUGCCAGCCGCCGCCGUAACAC
rnacentral:rRNA from 1 species